UAGGACCCUGACCUCCUAUUUUCAGUUGGUUUUGUUUACAGCGAGGUUAUAUCAGGGUAAUGAUUAAUAGGGAUAGUUGGGGGCAUUAAUAUUUAAUUGUCAGAGGUGAAAUUCUUGGAUUUAUGAAAGAUUAACUUCUGCGAAAGCGUUUGCCAAGGAUGUUUUCAUUAAUCAAGAACGAAAGUUAGGGGAUCGAAGACGAUCAGAUACCGUCGUAGUCUUAACCAUAAACGAUGCCGACCAGCGAUUAGGAGACGUUGAAUACAAAACACCGCUGUUAAUCCUUUCGGGGGUUAAUAGUUGGUGAAUGACUCCCUAGCAGCUUGUGAGAA
rnacentral:rRNA from 1 species